CAGUCGCCACGGUAAUACGGAGGGUGCAAGCGUUAAUCGGAAUUACUGGGCGUAAAGCGCACGCAGGCGGUCUGACAAGUCAGAUGUGAAAUCCCCGGGCUUAACCUGGGAACUGCAUUUGAAACUGUCAGGCUGGAGUCUUGUAGAGGGGGGUAGAAUUCCAGGUGUAGCGGUGAAAUGCGUAGAGAUCUGGAGGAAUACCGGUGGCGAAGGCGGCCCCCUGGACAAAGACUGACGCUCAGGUGCGAAAGCGUGGGGAGCAAACAGGAUUAGAUACCCGAGUAGUCCCUGUCUCUUAUAU
rnacentral:rRNA from 1 species